AAAAUGUUCCAUUGGUCCAUGAUGGUUGCGGUCCAGCCGUACCAGCCUACCGAGCACAGCAGCGUCUCCUGACGACUGAGCGAUUUUUUUUUUGACAAACUGGGUCCACUGCAAUCUCCACCCCUUUGCGUGCUCUGCUCUGCGCGCGGGCGGUUCAACCUGUGGCGACGGCGGAGGCGGUCGGGGAUGGAUUCGAGCUCUUAAUAGAUCCAGUCGACAGAUUCCCAGCGCCGGCGAUUGGAACGGUGAGUGCAUGCCGGCAGUGCAGCCGGUUCCAGAUCUGUUGGACAAGAUUGGCGAGUCCAGCAUUGGGGAUGUCGGCGAUGCGCCGGCGAAAGUACUGCUAGACCUGAACGCGUUUGCACGGGAUUGAGCUUGUCGGCGGCCGACUCGGACCAGUCAACGGGCAAGGACGACCCGCAGCCGCCGAGGUCGAUGGAGAGGGCCUGCUUAAAUUUGAUGCCAUGCUAACCACAUAUCAUGGUGCUGGAUCCAUUUCCCUUCUGGUUUAUCUCUUGGGUUAGCAUGUAUUCAAGUGCCAUUCAAUCAGAUACUGAACUACAAGAAACUUCAGCAGGGAUUGCAGGGUUGCUAGGGAAUCAACCCCCACAGAGAUUGGCUGACAAGUAGGGGAUCAACCUAAUCACUGGGUGGAUUAAUUCCACUACGGGAUUGGUCCCCCUAUAAGCAAACAAGGCUUAUGGUUUUCCUGCAUCUGGUGGAACACCGUAACAAAGAUGUACUUUGCCUCGAACGCAUAGCCAGUUUUGGAAGCGGUGUUCAUCGUCCUGCACAUGUACUUCCGGUUUUUCGUGUUUCUUGGUUUGGACCUACAUAAAUUAUGUUGUUCAAUCAUAUGGACGAGGGUUCUAACCUGUGGAGCCCAUGUCAUGAAUUUGUACGCAGUACAGGUGAUGAAAGCUAACACACCAUUGGAGCAGCAUCCUAGUGAGGUGUACACUAGGGCCCGCGUUCAAGAAGUUUGGCGAGCGAAGCAGGGCAGUACAAGGCCGAACUGGUUGAGCAAGGCGUUAAGUACCUAGUGCGGCGGCACCAUCCGGAGAGGCAUGGCAAAUGGUGUAAGGUGGUGUAUAAGGGCACAGUUGAUGGAGGGGUUGAUCAGUUUCUAUGCGAGUGUCGAAACUUUGAGCACACGGGAAUGUUGUGCUGUCAUUCACUGAAGGUACAUAAAAUCUGUUCAAUUGCUUCAUUCCUGUGGCGACGGUGUUUAAUGGAUCAACAUGCGGCAUCUCGAUUAAUGAUGCUAUUCCGCUGCAAGUCAUGGAUUUUAUGGGAGUCACGCGGAGACACCCCAGACAGAGGUGACAUGCUGAAGAAACCAGGGAGGGAUCGAGCCGAAAUGCACCAAUUGUGACGUAGGUGGUCACUGGCGAAACACGUGCGGAAACCGAAGUAGUAUCAUGCUUCAUGCAGUGCCUCCUGCUGAAACACCAAUCCGGCUGGAGCGGACUGUUGUGUAGUUAGCUUUGUUGCUAGUUUUGGGUUCAGUUUGUACAAUUUGAUGCUGUCUUGUGAGCUACGUAGUACGAUUUUCCUAAAGCUGUGUACAUUUUACGUAACCCUGUGUCACUCGAAAAAUAAGUCACCCUGGUAGUCGGUGUGGUGAUUGUACAAGUAUUGCGAAAAAUGAUGAUUGUCAACGAGCGAAGCAUGUUCUGUUCUCCGAA